rnacentral:rRNA from 1 species
GGACUACCGGGGUAUCUAAUCCCGUUUGCUCCCCUAGCUUUCGCGCCUCAGCGUCAGUGUCGGUCCAGGACGCCGCCUUCGCCACCGGUGUUCCUCCGGAUAUCUACGCAUUUCACCGCUACACCCGGAAUUCCACGUCCCUCUCCCGAACUCAAGCCAAGCAGUUUCCCGUGCAGUUCCUCAGUUGAGCCGAGGGAUUUCACACGGGACUUACAAGACCGCCUACGCGCCCUUUACGCCCAGUAAUUCCGAACAACGCUCGCUCCCUCUGUAUUACCGCGGCUGCUGGCAC